CGUGAGAUGUUGGGUUAAGUCCCGCAACGAGCGCAACCCCUAUUGAUAGUUGCUAACAUUAAGUUGAGAACUCUAUCAAGACCGCCGGUGAUAAAUCGGAGGAAGGUGGGGACGACGUCAAGUCAUCAUGGCCUUUAUGCCCAGGGCUACACACGUGCUACAAUGGUCGGUACAAAACGUCGCGAUCCCGUAAGGGGGAGCUAAUCGCAAAAACCGAUCUCAGUUCGGAUUGAAGUCUGCAACUCGACUUCAA
rnacentral:rRNA from 1 species